GCGAACGCUGGCGGCAGGCUUAACACAUGCAAGUCGAGCGGACCUUUCGGGGUCAGCGGCGGACGGGUGAGUAACGCGUGGGAACGUGCCUUCCGGUUCGGAAUAACCCUGGGAAACUAGGGCUAAUACCGGAUACGCCCUUAUGGGGAAAGGUUUGCUGCCGGAAGAUCGGCCCGCGUCUGAUUAGCUAGUUGGUGGGGUAACGGCCUACCAAGGCGACGAUCAGUAGCUGGUCUGAGAGGAUGAUCAGCCACACUGGGACUGAGACACGGCCCAGACUCCUACGGGAGGCAGCAGUGGGGAAUAUUGGACAAUGGGCGCAAGCCUGAUCCAGCCAUGCCGCGUGAGUGAUGAAGGCCUUAGGGUUGUAAAGCUCUUUUAUCCGGGACGAUAAUGACGGUACCGGAGGAAUAAGCCCCGGCUAACUUCGUG
rnacentral:rRNA from 1 species